rnacentral:rRNA from 1 species
CCUACGGGGGGCUGCAGUGGGGAAUAUUGCACAAUGGGGGGAACCCUGAUGCAGCAAUGCCGCGUGAAGGAUGAAGGUUUUCGGAUUGUAAACUUCUUUUGUACGGGACGAAGAAAGUGACGGUACCGUAAGAAUAAGCCACGGCUAACUACGUGCCAGCAGCCGCGGUAAUACGUAGGUGGCAAGCGUUAUCCGGAUUUACUGGGUGUAAAGGGUGCGCAGGCGGGCCUUUAAGCCGGCGGUGAAAUCGCGGGGCUCAACCCCGCCGAGCCGUCGGAACUGGGGGCCUUGAGUGCGGCGGAGGCAUGCGGAAUGCGCGGUGUAGCGGUGAAAUGCAUAGAUAUCGCGCAGAACCCCGAUUGCGAAGGCAGCGUGCCGUGCCGCCACUGACGCUGAGGCACGAAAGCGCGGGGAUCGAACAGGAUUAGAUACCCUUGUAGUC